rnacentral:sRNA from 1 species
CGGGGCGCAGCCCGCGCCCCCCGCCGCGAUUGACAUGAUGUUUCCACAAAGCAGGCAUUCGGGCUCCUCGCACCUACCCCAGCAACUCAAAUUCACCACCUCGGACUCCUGCGACCGCAUCAAAGACGAAUUUCAGCUACUGCAAGCUCAGUAUCACAGGUGAGCUGGGGGACUGGGGGUCCCUGCAUCCCGAGAAUGUGAGUCCCCCCAUUUCUUCUGCGCAGAUGGCAAGGCUGAGGCCUGGAGAUUGGGGAAAUAAUAUAUGCUAGACUCUGACCUAAUCACUUGACAAAUACUGAAUUCAUUUCUUUUAAACAGCCCCAUUUUGUAGAGGAGAAAACCGAGGCACAAAAAUAGUUAAAUAAUU